GCAUAUCAAUAAGCGGAGGAAAAAGAAACCAACAGGGAUUGCCCUAGUAAACGGCGAAGUGAAGCGGCAACAGCUCAAAAUUUGAAAUCUGGCCCUUGGGUCCGAAUUUGUAAUUUGUAGAGGAUGUUUUUGGUGCGGUAUCUUCCGAGUUCCUUGGAACAGGACGCCUUAGAGGGUGAGAGCCCCGUACGGUUGAAUGCCUAGCCUUUGUAAAACUCCUUCGACGAGUCGAGUAGUUUGGGAAUGCUGCUCUAAAUGGGAGGUAAAUUUCUUCUAAAGCUAAAUACCGGCCAGAGACCGAUAGCGCACAAGUAGAGUGAUCGAAAGAUGAAAAGCACUUUGAAAAGAGGGUUAAAUAGCACGUGAAAUUGUUGAAAGGGAAGGAUUUAUGACCAGACUUUUCCUAGGCGAAUCAUCCGGUGUUCUCACCGGUGCACUUCGUUUAGUUUAGGCCAGCAUCGAUUUUCGGGGCGGGAUAAAAGCUUUAGGAAUGUGGCUCCCUCGGGAGUGUUAUAGCCUAUUGUAUAAUACCGCCCUGGGGAUCGAGGUACGCGCUUCUGCAAGGAUGCUGGCGUAAUGGUUAUCAAUCACCCGUCUUGAAACACGGACCAAGGAGUCGAACAUUUGUGCAAGUGUUUGGGUGUUAAACCCUCACGCGUAAUGAAAGUGAACGGAGGUGAGAGCCCUUUCGGGGGUGCAUCAUCGACCGAUCCUGAUGUCUUCGGAUGGAUUUGAGUAAGAGCAUAAAUGUUCGGACCCGAAAGAUGGUGAACUAUGCGUGGAUAGGGUGAAGCCAGAGGAAACUCUGGUGGAGGCUCGCAGCGGUUCUGACGUGCAAAUCGAUCGUCAAAUCUGCGCAUGGGGGCGAAAGACUAAUCGAACCAUCUAGUAGCUGGUUACCGCGA
rnacentral:rRNA from 1 species